rnacentral:rRNA from 1 species
AUCGAACGCUGGCGGCAGGCCUAAAACAUGCAAGUCGAACGCCCUAGCAAUAGGGAGUGGCGCACGGGUGAGUAACAUGUGGGAAUAUGCCUUUUGGUACGGAACAACGUUUGGAAACGAACGCUAAUACCGUAUGGUCCCCCCGGGGUAAAGAUUUAUCGCCAAAAGAUUAGCCCGCACUAGAUUAGCUAGUUGGUAAGGUAAUGGCUUACCAAGGCGACGAUCUAUAGCUGUUCUGAGAGGAAGAUCAGCCACACUGGGACUGAGACACGGCCCAGACUCCUACGGGAGGCAGCAGUUAGGAAUAUUGGACAAUGGGCGCAAGCCUGAUCCAGCCAUGCCGCGUGAGUGAUGAAGGCCUUCGGGUUGUAAAGCUCUUUAGCCGACGAAUAUAAUGACUGUAGUCGGAGAAUAAGCCCCGGCUAACUUCGUGCCAGCCGCCGCGGUAACAC